GACAGACAAGAACCAAUUACCACUGAUUACUCUUCUCGUUUCACACUUUUCCCUCAUUUUUCUUCCCUUUCUCCUUCCAUAUUUGAUCUCUGCCUCACUCAACUCAACCCCUUUCUGUUGUCAUCUCUCUCUCUCUCGCCCCUCUCUUCCCACACAAAAAGCUGCAAAUUGCCGUGAGCUGUCCUGGAAUUCUCCACUGAUACUGAGGCUUACAAGCUUACUGAGCAGAGCUUCGGUUUAGUUAUGUCGAUGAAGAUUGAGUGUGUAUUUCCUUGAUUCCUAUCGAUCUGAUACUGCCAACACAACAAGAUGGGUUGCGCUGGAUCGUCGCAGAUGAAAGGAGACGGCAAUUGUGGACAGUGCGGGUAUCCUUGUUACAAGUGCCGACUUGACAACAUGCUAUGAUGAGAGAGGUGCGAAGUAUGAAUUGCCCAAAAAUGUUUUGAGUGAGCCGACCAAUUUGAUUAGAGAC